UUGUUACACCUUGGCCGAGGAAUGCUUCCGUUUGGUGGAAGAUUUAGUGAAGCUAGAAGACUUUGGUGGAGCACAAGGUUGGUUCAAUUCGGAGGUUUUCCGGAAAGUAGGUAAUGAUUUCAAAACUAGUUUUUGGAAGGAUAUUUGGCGUGGAGGAGGGAGUUUUGCUCAAAAAUAUCCUAGACUUUUUUCAAUUUCAACCCAAAAGGAGGCUACGGUGGGAGAAAUAGGGGCGGCUUCGGGGGUAGGAACGGAUUGGAAUUUUAAUUGGAGAAGACAACUCUUUGUGUGGGAGGAGGAGUUGUUUACUAGCCUUCGGGAAGAUUUAGAGGGUAUGGUUUGGUCUAAUGAGGAGGAUGAGUGGAGAUGGAAAUUAGAAGAUAAUGGUUUUUUCUCGGUGAAGUCGGCAUAUUUGAAGUUGGAGGGAGUGGUGUUGAAGGAAGAUUUGUGGGAUGAAGAGGAAAGAGGGGUGUUUGAUCAAUUAUGGAAGAGUCCAGCGCCGUCGAAAGUGAUUGCAUUUACUUGGAAGGUACUCCUUAAUCGUAUCCCAACUAGAGUUAAUCUUGCCUUGAGGAAUGUUCUACCACCGGAUGCCUCAAACUUGUGUGUGUUGUGUAAUUUGAAGGAAGAAUCGGCCAUACAUCUUCUCUUGCACUGCGAAGUGGCGUCUAAGGUGUGGCUAAAUAUUAUGUUGUGGUUGGAGGUCUUGUUCUUAAUUCCAUCUAAUUUCUUUGUGCAUUGGGAGUGUUGGAGUGUGGGGAAAGAAAUAAAAAAGUAACUAAAGGACUAUGGUUAAUUUGGCACACAACCAUGUGGACUUUGUGGAAAGCGAGAAAUGACAAAAUCUUUAAGGGUAUUAGUAGAGUGGUGGAUGACAUAGUUGAGGAGAUUAAGGUUUUGUCUUGGAGAUGGAUGUUGAAUAGGACGAAUAACCCGCCAUGCCUUUUCUAUGAAUGGUGUUGGAAUCCAAGAUAUUGUCUUGCUAGAUGAUAGUUUGGUCCUUGGGUGCGGUGUAUUUCGUGAGGUAGAAGCUUUUGGUUUGGGAUUCCUAUGCAGGUUGGUUUGUGCAGCUUUUGAGGACUUUGGGUGUGUUUCGGUUUUGGAUAGUUUUUGCUGUUACUUGUUGGAUUUGUCUUCCACGAGUACUGUGAGGCUUGUGUGCAGUUUUGGCUAGUUGGUUUGUGCGGCUGCCACUUUCAAUUUUCUGUUUUCAUGUUACUUCGGCAUCUUGCUGCUGAAGUAUAUUGAUUGGUGAGGCAGGGGUAUGCUUGGGUGUCAGUGCUCUUUGGCUUGUCUGCUUGUAUAGCUUUGGUGCGGUGCUAGGAGGUCUGUGCGCUACCUGGUUUUGUGGCAGCAGUGCUGUUGUAUGUUUUAACAGCUGGGGCGAGACGUAUCAGUUGGCUGGUGGUUGUUUGCUUGCCAGGUUUUGGCUGUUAUUAGUAGUUUCGGCGGCCUUUGGUGUUGAUGCAGGGGUAUGCUUGUGGUCUGUCACUUGUAUAUGCCUGCGUCAUUACUCUUGUGGUGUGUUCCUUAGUUUAUGGGUGGUUUUUAAAGGGAUUUUUGUUCGAGCCGGAGUUUGUAUGGCAACUGAUUUCCCCUUCUUUGUAUUUUUUCUCCACCCGAGCUUAUUAGUGCGUCUUGCACGGGCUUGUUGGUUAAUAAUAUUUUGCCGAUUCAAAAAAAAAAAACUCUGCAAACACCUCCUUCAUUGUUGUUAUUUGUUGGAAGUAUAAAUUCAAUGCAGCUUUUUGUUCUUACUUAACUUACCUUAAAAGUUUUAGGGAACAUGCAAUAGUCUGUCUAUGCACAUUUGACAACUUUGCCCAUGAAUAUCUCAUGGUUCAUUGACAGUACACUCAAACUUUUAUCAGCAACCUGUGAUGUUGCAAUGAAGUCAGCGACAAUAUAUAAAUUUUCAGAAUGAAUGGCACCAGUUAUUCCAAUAAACUCAAAUGAGAUUUAUAAAUUGCAUUUUCCCCCUUUAUCACAUUUAGCAGGCACAAACGAGGUAAAACACUUCAAACAUUUUGGCUAGAUCCAAACUCAAAACAUUAUUGAUGAUAUGAUGCUAUUGUAUAAAUUAAGCAUUGUGUCUUAAGAAUGGUUUUUGGGAUAAAGAAGGGUUAUGAGAUUCCUAUCUAAGCAGAAUUGUCUUUGUAUGUACAAGGUGGUUACAAGUUGAUGAAAAAAGUUUUUUUAAG
rnacentral:lncRNA from 1 species